rnacentral:rRNA from 1 species
UUAAAUUGAAGAGUUUGAUCAUGGCUCAGAUUGAACGCUGGCGGCAGGCCUAACACAUGCAAGUCGAACGGUAACAGGAAGCAGCUUGCUGCUUCGCUGACGAGUGGCGGACGGGUGAGUAAUGUCUGGGAAACUGCCUGAUGGAGGGGGAUAACUACUGGAAACGGUGGCUAAUACCGCAUAACGUCGCAAGACCAAAGAGGGGGACCUUCGGGCCUCUUGCCAUCAGAUGUGCCCAGAUGGG